UGAGUAACCUGCCCUUAACUCUGGGAUAAGCCUGGGAAACUGGGUCUAAUACCGGAUAUGACUCCUCAUCGCAUGGUGGGGGGUGGAAAGCUUUAUUGUGGUUUUGGAUGGACUCGCGGCCUAUCAGCUUGUUGGUGAGGUAAUGGCUCACCAAGGCGACGACGGGUAGCCGG
rnacentral:rRNA from 1 species